UCCCACUCAUCUCUCCUACUCUCUCACUCCCAAAUCCACGCAGGAGGGGAGGACCAGGCGCCGGCUGGCCUGUCCCGGUGAUCCCCACGAGGCCGCGACGGAGGGGACGGGACGGCGGCCAUCCGUCGGAGGGGAGAGGAAGCCGACGGACCGGCCUGUCCCGGAGAUCCCCGCGACGGAGGGGAAGCUCGGUCGGGGUGGCGGAGGGGCGGCGGAGGAGGGGAGGAGCAGCGGCGGUGAUGUUCGUCGAGGCCGGAGAGAGGAGGUGCGGCGGCUGCGGCGUCUAGGAGAAGCGGUGGCGGGGCUCGAUCGGGGCGGCGGAGGAGACGGCGGGAAGCGCUCGGUCGGGGCGGCGGAGGAGGGGAGAAGCAGCGGCGGUGAUUUUCGUCGAGGCCGGAGAGGGGAGGAGCGGCGGCUGCGGCGUCUGGGAGAAGCGGUGGCGCCGGCGGCGGGUGGCUGUGGGCCGACGGGAACUAGGGGAGGAAGGAGUGGGCGGCGGCCGCGCCGGCGCAACUUCACAUGUCCGGUGAGUAAUAACUUAGCAAGCAUCACAUACCCAUCCUUCUUUCGAGGUUAAAUCAUCAUUUUCGAGGUGAUGGUUACGAUGAGAGUGACGAGGAUGGUGAUGAUGGGUCGAAUGAUGAAGCCCCUUUUGGUGCCUGCCUAGAUGUUGGUCAGAGUGGGAAGGACGAAGAUAGAUCAUCGCUAUGACCGAAUAUUAUGUGUGCUUUUCAUUUAAAAUGAUGAAGCCCCUUUUGGGUUGAAUUAUAGUGUCCGAAAGUCUUUUUGGCUUUCAGUUAGGUGCCACUUUGGCCGUUAGAAGAGCAAAUUUGCUCCUCUAAAGGUUUUUUUGCCUUUGGGUUACAGUCUUACAGAUGCUCUUAUUUGAAGACUCGAAUAGUCAAUUUAUUUUGCAUGAAAUAGUCAAUUUAUUUUGCAUGAA